GUCCUGCCAGAGUCCUGAAGUAAAAACGCUUUAGCCUACUGAGCUAUUCCGCCGAGUACACAUUCUUGACGUAUUUUAUACCUUAUAUAAGCAAUCUUCGUAGUUUCACAAAAUUUAACGACAAAAACAGAACUCUCCAAAUUAUUCAAUCGUUUCGCGUUGCAACGCUUUAUAAUUUUUAGGUUUUAAAAUCGUCAAAAGAUGCAUAUAAUGGCUAUAUUAGAGCAUGGUUAAUGUUCAGUAUUACUGUUUCCUCACAAAUAUCAUAACUAAAACGAAAACUUACGAAUCUGAAACAACUUUUUUCAAUUUUGUCAAUUUACCAAAGCGUGAAAAGAUCCCUUUAAUGUUUUGGCUGCUAACUAGUCGAUCAAAAAAUUGUUGCCAUUCGCUUAAUAAGAAAAUCGAUCAUAAAUGUCUAACGGCUGUUAAAACUUUUGCGAAAAUCACGACGAUGACUGAUAAGAAUUGGUCAAUGGGUGGGUUCUCUGUUUCUAUCGAUUUACUUUCUUAAUGAUUCUUAAUUAUUGCUUCCGACACAGGUGCCGAUUGCCUGUGAUUGUGCCUUUCUGGUUAACAUUGUUUACGUUUCUCGUUCUCCCCAUAUAUGUAUAUCUGCUGUCCUAACUUUUACAAUUAUCCAAAAUAUCAUGUCUGUUAACGCAACCAAUUUGACUUUUACGCAAAUUCGUCAAAUUAACGAUACAAAACUUCGAUUAAAAAUGCUAUGCUCAUUUUAGGUAUUUUCUCUUUGGAAUUAUUAUCAUAACGCGGUGACGCUUACACUCAGCAAGCUUAGCAAACGGUCAUAGUUAUUCCAACGCUAUGCGUUUUCAAUCUGACCUAAUUCGUCGAUCAUUGUGCAUGUAUUUGUAAAGCGUCUGUAGUUUCAGUUUCUAUUACGAUGCGAAAUAAAAAUAGCUAAGAGAGGUCGAAAGACGUCCGAGAUUGUUGCGCCAAAAUAUCAGCCGAUCGCAAACUUUUUCGAAUCAAGAAAGCAAGAGCCAAUAAGUGCCGAAUCAUUCGUGUUAUCGAUUUUGUUAGAAACUGUGCAUACAGCAUUUGAGUUGACAUCCAAAAAACAUGAUGGAAAGUCUGUGACUUAACAAAUCUGUCAAAAGUAUAAAAAGGCAUGUCAUUGGUUAGAAAUAUUGACAUUUUUUAAAGUUUAUAUCAUGGACAGUUUCAAGGAUUAAAGAUGUUACGAAACAUCAGUUUAUUAAAAUUUAUGAUGAUAGUUUACAGUUCUAUUGAAUCAAUACAAGUGUGCAGCGUCAACGGAAGUAAAUCAGCAAUUAUUUAAAGGUGGACUUCAAUAUGUAUGAUCUACUUAUGCUGCCACAACGUAAAGGCAACAAUCACUGGGUUUUGCUGGUUGCAAGUGUUAUGUCCAGGACUGUAACCAUUUACGACUGGUUGGGUGGUAACAACAAGGCCUUGUUCGAUUUGUUCUGCCAGUUCAUGUGUCAACGAGCGCAAAUUGUGAAAGAUGGCUUGGAAAAAAUCAGUUCAGUUCCAUGGAAACAGCUGUGGAGUGUUUGCAUUGAUGACUGCCAAAUGUUUGGUCAUGAAAAAGCAUCCCACAAUGUUGCGACAGGCCCAUGAUUCAGUUUAUCGAGACUAGUGGUGAGAAGCAGACUUCUGAUUCCUGGAGUGCGGCAAACAUAUCUGUGCGACUCAAUCACUCCACUGUAAAGACCCGCACGGCAUUAAAAUGGAUAUUAUCAAUAUGUGUUGUUGCUCGAAAAUAUGUUUGUGUAGCAGGAAGUGCUUUGGGCUCGAUUAAUCUGAGAACUCAACAAAAUAUUAAUAAAAUCCUUCUGUGCCUUUUAGUUCUGAAAACAGAA